rnacentral:lncRNA from 1 species
UUUAAUUGAUUGCCUCUAACCUUAGAUUAAAAGCCUGCUUUCUUUUAUUAUUUCCUUUAUUUUUCAUCCACUAAUGCAGGCAGAUCACACUGAAGGAAAAGCACUAAGUUAAGGAUACAAAAGUAAAAGACAAUUUUUUAAAGCUUCUUUACUUUUAUCUAGUAAGGGGAUCUGAAAGCUAGAGACACUAACUUUGAAAAAGUUUUUGCUUCCAAUAAUAUGAAGCCAUAUUUGUGUGAACUGAUAGACUAUAUAGUCUUAUCAAAAUGCAUAAAAUAGACAUGAACAGUCUGAAAAGCUAUUUACUUUUAGUCAUACAUGUUUCAGAAAGUAUUAACAUUCUGAAAGUUUGUCUGUAGAUCAUUUUGAAAUUAAAAGAUGAUGCUUCUCCUUUUUUUCUCCCCUUUGUAAUGGUUAAUGAUUUAUUAUGUAGUGUUUGAGUUAGUUCAUUUUGAUAAUUAGCAAAUGAGAUCUUUUGUAUAUGUAUAUAGCAAAGAGUCUUAUACGGUGCAAAUUAAGAUACAUCCAAGUUAAGAUAAACCUAACUCAGGAUAACUUAAGAUAAGCCUAGGUUCUGGUAAACUUCUUAUCUGGUGCUGUUUUGGGUAAUCUUUUUUUAAAAAAUAUUUAUAUUUUAGUUGUAGUUGGCCACAAUAACUUUAUUUCACUUAUUUUUUUAAGUGGUGC